ensembl:lncRNA
UUUCUAUAAUAUCUUUUAAAAUGGCCACUUGUAUUUUAAUAGCUGUGAAAGACACUGGGGUCAGAAAGAGACAUGACUGAGUGACUAAUACAAAGACAUUAGACUUCUUUUUAGGUAAAGAGAGUGGGAAUAGUAAGCUGUGUGUUAUUUAGCACAUUUUGUUCCUUUCUGAGUCUGCUUUUCUGGAGUCCUGACAUCCUCUACAAACAAAAUCAAUGUUAUGGAUGGCCUCAUUUUGGACAGGAAUGAAGUGAGACCAAAGUUUGGCUAGUGUCUAGGGUAAUGACUGUCAGAACAUUCCAGAGUGGUGCUGAGGAAAUCCGGCCCACACACAUCUUCAAGUUUGAGGAGAAGCAAAUCUGUGCCUUUACCAGCAGGACCUUCUAGGCCUGGUGGGGAGCCAGACACUCUUUUCCAGGAGAGUUUGGGAGGUGCUACUACUGUAGCUGACUUAGGAAGAUGUGACAGGAGCCAGAAGAGGUGAAAAUGUCUGGAAGUCAGCACAGGGCUGGGGGGCCAGUGAGCAGUGCUCAGGAAAUAUUUUUGAAUGAAUGAAUGACAAAGCAUUAAUUCCUGCCCUUACAAGCCUAACAGCUCCAUUUCCCAGGGGUUUCCCCUUAGCACUUCGACUUUGCCACCAAGGGAAAAAUAAGAUACACCAUUGCCCUUCAAGAAACUUACAAGACAGGACAAGACUCAGGAAAUGACCAAAGACAAGGGAAGGCCCAGUCCAUUGAGACGAGAGGAACUUAGGGAAAUUUCAGGGAAUUUCUGGUGAUCCCUUCCAAAUCACAGCAAAACUUUGGGUUAGGCAAGGGUUGUGGACACUUCUUGAUGAACCGAUUGAAACUUUCAAAGUCCCCUGCUGCUUGUGGCCCUAGCAGAAGGCCCUUAAGAGUUCCAGGAUGAAGGCAGUUGCUGUCCUAGGGUUCAGUACCCGCAGCCGGGCCAGCAGCGAGGCAGCCUCGGCCGGUCCAGGGCCUCCGCCGAGGCCAGUCCGCGCCCCGCGCCGCUCGCGACCGACCGGCCCGGACGCGGGCGGACAGCGCGGAGCCCCGGGCGAGCCUUUGUGCCGCCGGCAGCUGCCUUUGUGCGACGCGGGUUCGCGCGCCCCUCCAGGCGGCCGCCUCUGCAAGGAUCGCCCCCGCUGCGCUCCAUACCUGCUCCUUUGUCACCAGCUGCCGAAGAAUUCAGAAAAUCAAAUUUAUUUCCCGAUUACCGAUUACCGCCGGGACGCCCCUUUGUGCGGAAUGAAUGGAUGGAUGUUGACUCCAAGGCUUGCCAGCCCAGCGCUGCCCUCAGCCUGCGGGUAAAUCCAAUUUCAGCCUCUGAGUGCUCAGCGCUAUCAGCACCUCGCCACUGCCGGAAGCCACAGGCCAAUCUGAAAAAGUUCCUCUUCCACCGGAUUCUCAGGUGUCUUAGGCACCUGAAGAUAAACGAUGGGAGCCAGUGGUCAUGGCGGUGAAUUGGAUACCUACACCAGACAAAGCCUGAGAGGCGUAAUCAAAUAAGGGAACCACUUGAACUGAACUCCCAGCAGGAGCAGGAGGGAGGCCUGGAGAGGUUACAGAUGGCCCUGAAGGUGACAUAGGCAGUGAGACUUUGAAGAUCACAUCAAAGCCAUCAAAGCACAGAAUGUUGGUGCCGGAUGGCCCUUUCAAGUUCACGGUCCACUCCAUCCCAAAGACAGAUGGGAAAACUGAAGCCCAUGCUAAGAGAAGUUCCUUCCCCAAGGCCACAGGCAGAAAUG